rnacentral:rRNA from 1 species
UACGUAGGGGGCAAGCGUUGUCCGGAUUUACUGGGCGUAAAGGGCGUGUAGGCGGUCUGUUAAGUCUGAUGUGAAAUCCCCUCGCUCAACGAGGGAACUGCGUCGGAUACUGGCAGACUCGAGUACCGGAGAGGAAGGUGGAAUUCCCGGUGUAGCGGUGGAAUGCGCAGAUAUCAGGAGGAACACCGGUGGCGAAGGCGGGUCUCUGGGCAGUAACUGACGCUGAGACGCGAAAGCUAGGGGAGCGAACAGG